rnacentral:rRNA from 1 species
GACGAACGCUGGCGGCGUGCUUAACACAUGCAAGUCGAACGGAAAGGCCCUGCUUUUGUGGGGUGCUCGAGUGGCGAACGGGUGAGUAACACGUGAGUAACCUGCCCUUGACUUUGGGAUAACUUCAGGAAACUGGGGCUAAUACCGGAUAGGAGCUCCUGCUGCAUGGUGGGGGUUGGAAAGUUUCGGCGGUUGGGGAUGGACUCGCGGCUUAUCAGCUUGUUGGUGGGGUAGUGGCUUACCAAGGCUUUGACGGGUAGCCGGCCUGAGAGGGUGACCGGCCACAUUGGGCCUGAGAUACGGCCCAGACUCCUACGGGAGGCAGCAGUGGGGAAUAUUGCACAAUGGGCGGAAGCCUGAUGCAGCAACGCCGCGUGCGGGAUGACGGCCUUCGGGUUGUAAACCGCUUUCGCCUGUGUCGGAGCGUGAGGGACGGGAAUGGGUAAAGAAGCACCGGCGAACUACGG